GGUCUGCAUUUUUAUAAUGCCACAUACAGAGGGCACUGAGAACACUACACUUUUUAGUUCUAAAUUUAGUUUUAUGGUAAACUAAAUGUCAUUAUUUUGAGAAGUCAUGACUAUGAAAUGAAAGACUCGUUCAUUCCGUUUUAACUUCGAGAGCAAUAAAGUUCAGUCUUCGUAAAAUCUAAACAUAUAUCGUUUUUUUUUGUUAAGUCAUUGUGACUUGGUAUUAAGAAUUUCUAUCUUUCAGGAGGCCAUUAUCACCCUUUCGUUCACAGUCCACUGAACCCCAACGUUUUCAUGAUCCUUCAACCCGGAUUUUGGCUAACCUAAAAGACGUGAAAUCUGGAAAAUCAUCCAAAUCAAUCCCUGCAGUUCACAAGGAAAACCAGAAUGCCACCUAUUUUAUCCCGCCUUAGCCGUUCCGAGGCAAACAAAAAUUAUUACUCUUGCAGAAUCUGUUCACAAAACCACGGUCUUCGUAAAUGCAAGGUAUUCCGAAAAAAGGAUGCGAAACAACGUAUGCAAUUAGUUGUGACUCACCGCUACUGUCCAAACUGUUUAGCCCAUCAACACUCAUCUAGUUCUUGUUUUUCAACUAAAGGAUGUCGGUUUUGUGGAGGCAACCAUCACUCCUUAUUGCAUAUAGAUAAUCCAAAAUUGCGAAGCAAGAAAACAAGGACAGUAAAGGUCGAAAAAAGCCCCGCAGGUGAACCACCAAACACCAGUUCAACUAACCAGCGAUCACUAACGAUAGCGUCUAUUGCAACUCCAAACGCCACUUUGCUAUUUCCAACGGCUAUA